rnacentral:rRNA from 1 species
UACGUAGGGUGCAAGCGCUGUCCGGAAUUAUUGGGCGUAAAGAGCUCGUAGGCGGUCUGUUGCGUCGGCUGUGAAAACCCGGGGCUCAACCCCGGGCCUGCAGCCGAUACGGGCAGACUAGAGUUCGGCAGGGGAGACUGGAAUUCCUGGUGUAGCGGUGAAAUGCGCAGAUAUCAGGAGGAACACCGGUGGCGAAGGCGGGUCUCUGGGCCGAUACUGACGCUGAGGAGCGAAAGCGUGGGGGAGCAAACAGG